GUUUUUGUUUGCAUGUUAUGCAAGAUAUACAUUCUUUUACAUUCAGAGUGUGUGAAAAAUACUCGAAUGCCAGUCUGGACCAAGGUCAGACUCCCCAACAUGAGGGUGAGGCACUCAGAGUCAUGUAUGCACAGGUGUGUGGAUUUGCGACCCAAACGUGCACAUGUGUGAGACCACCAGCACAGGAAGGGCCGACUUUGAUAAUUCGUUAAUGAUCCUUCCGCAGGUUCACCUACGGAAA
rnacentral:misc_RNA from 1 species